rnacentral:tRNA from 1 species
UGUGGGAUAGCUCAGGAGGUAGAGCAGCGGCCUUAUCGUGUGUCAUGGGUUCAAUUCCCCUUCCCACAA